rnacentral:rRNA from 1 species
UACGGGAGGCAGCAGUGGGGAAUAUUGCGCAAUGGCCGAAAGGCUGACGCAGCGACGCCGUGUGUGGGAUGAAGGCCUUCGGGUCGUAAACCACUGUCGGGAGGGACGAAUGUCCGGCGGUCAAUAUCCGACCGGAAGAGACGGUACCUCCAAAGGAAGCACCGGCUAACUCCGUGCCAGCAGCCGCGGUAA